UGGAACAAGUCUGACAUGUCAUGUAAGGUUUGAGGAAGCAAAAAUGAUCUGUUUUCUCCUCUUCGUUUAUCUGGCAGGUGUUAGUCUGGGGCUUGAGGUGCGUCAGUCUUCUUCUGAAAUCAUCACCAAACCUGGAGACAAAGUGGAGGUUUUCUGCAGCCAUAACAAAACUGACUACAGGACAAUGCUCUGGUACCAGCGGUCACCUGGAGACACAGCCAUGAAACUCAUUGGGUAUUUGAACUAUAAAAAUGUUCAAAUGGAAGAGCCAUACAGCAAGGACUUCACUAUCUCUGGAGAUUUGGGUGGCAAUACAGCAAAGAACGGCUCUCUUACAGUUGAACUCGCAGAACACAAACACAGCGCCGUUUACUACUGUGCAGCAAGUCAAGCACGAUAACAAAAAUCCUCUCUAAACUUUACAAAAACUGCAUCUUAAUCAUCAGUGGUGUGAAUACGACAGAAUAAACCGCUCUCAGACACCUGCUCUUGUGGUUGUAUCAGGGUUUGAUAUAAUCCAUGGCAAAAGAUUCUGAGCAUUAAACACGUCAUUUCCUGCAUUCUGGUGAAUUUUUAGGCACCAAUUUGAGACAUUUUUGCAUCAAUAUAUGGAGAAUUUGUCUUUGUUUUGGGUUUCUGAAAUGCUUUUCAUCAUUUACUCUCCUGAAGAUCAAAUUUUCGCAUUCAACAUUACCCCUGCUGAUUCACAACACAC